rnacentral:rRNA from 1 species
UACAGAGGAUGCAAGCGUUAUCCGGAAUGAUUGGGCGUAAAGCGUCUGUAGGUGGCUUUUUAAGUCCGCCGUCAAAUCCCAGGGCUCAACUCUGGACAGGCGGUGGAAACUACCAAGCUGAGUACGGUAGGGGCAGAGGGAAUUUCCGGUGGAGCGGUGAAAUGCGUAGAGAUCGGAAAGAACACCAACGGCGAAAGCACUCUGCUGGGCCGACACUGACACUGAGAGACGAAAGCUAGGGGAGCGAAACUGGGAUUAGAACCGUCCGUAGGUCA